AUUGAACGCUGGCGGAAUGCUUUACACAUGCAAGUCGAACGGCAGCACGGACUUCGGUCUGGCGGCGAGUGGCGAACGGGUGAGUAAUAUAUCGGAACGUAUCCAAUAAUGGGGGAUAACUAAUCGAAAGGUUGGCUAAUACCGCAUACGUCCUACGGGAGAAAGCUAGGGACCUUCGGGCCUGGCGUUAAUGGAGCGGCCGAUAUCUGAUUAGCUAGUUGGUGAGGUAAAGGCUCACCAAGGUGACGAUCAGUAGCUGGUCUGAGAGGACGACCAGCCACACUGGAACUGAGACACGGUCCAGACUCCUACGGGAGGCAGCAGUGGGGAAUAUUGGUCAAUGGGCGCAAGCCUGAACCAGCCGUCCCGCGUGAAGGAAGAAGGCGCUAUGCGUUGUAAACUUCUUUUCCGGAGGAAUAAAAUCUUGUACGCGUACAGGACUGAAGGUACUCCGGGAAUAAGCAUCGGCUAACUCCGUGCCAGCAGCCGCGGUAAUAC
rnacentral:rRNA from 1 species